rnacentral:rRNA from 1 species
GGGCCCGCACAAGCGGUGGAGUAUGUGGUUUAAUUCGAUGCAACGCGAAGAACCUUACCAGGGUUUGACAUCCUGCGAAUCUCUUGGAAACGAGAGAGUGCCUUCGGGAACGCAGUGACAGGUGGUGCAUGGCUGUCGUCAGCUCGUGUCGUGAGAUGUUGGGUUAAGUCCCGCAACGAGCGCAACCCACGUCUUUAGUUGCCAGCAUUUAGUUGGGCACUCUAGAGAGACUGCCGGUGAUAAACCGGAGGAAGGUGUGGAUGACGUCAAGUCAUCAUGCCCCUUACAUCCUGGGCUACACACGUGCUACAAUGGUAGGGACAACAGGUUGCCAACCCGCGAGGGUGAG